UGGCCAGAGGGAACUUCCCAUAAAUGAAUUUACAAUCCACCACCUAACAUCAGCCACCUGACC
rnacentral:tRNA from 1 species